rnacentral:rRNA from 1 species
UAACUGCGAGUGAAGCGGGAAGAGCUCAAAUUUAAAAUCUGGCGGUCUUGCCGUCCGAGUUGUAAUCUGGAGAAGCGUUUUCCGUGCUGGACCGUGUACAAGUCUCUUGGAAUAGAGCGUCAUAGAGGGUGAGAAUCCCGUCUCUGACACGGACUACCAGUGCUUUGUGAUACGCUCUCAAAGAGUCGAGUUGUUUGGGAAUGCAGCUCAAAAUGGGUGGUAAAUUCCAUCUAAAGCUAAAUAUUGGCGAGAGACCGAUAGCGAACAAGUACCGUGAGGGAAAGAUGAAAAGCACUUUGGAAAGAGAGUUAAACAGUACGUGAAAUUGUUGAAAGGGAAACGCUUGAAGUCAGUCGCGUCUUCUGGGACUCAGCGUGGCUUCUGCCUCGUGUACUUCCCAGUCGACGGGUCAACAUCGAUUUUGGUCGGCGGAUAAGGACCAGAGGAAUGUGGCACCUCCGGGUGUGUUAUAGCCUCUUGUCGGAUGCGCCGGCUGGGAUCGAGGACCGCAGCACGCCUUUUUGGCCGGGGUUUACCCACGUAACGUGCUUAGGAUGUUGGCAUAAUGGCUUUAAGCGACCCGUCUUGAAACACGGACCAAGGAGUCUAACACGCCUGCGAGUGUUAGGGUGGAAAACCCUUGCGCGUAAUGAAAGUGAAAGUUGGGACCUCUGUCAUGGAGGGCACCGACGCCCGGCCCUGAACUUCUGUGACGGCGCUGCGGUAGAGCAUGUGUGUUGGGACCCGAAAGAUGGUGAACUAUGCCUGAAUAGGGCGAAGCCAGAGGAAACUCUGGUGGAGGCUCGUAGCGAUUCUGACGUGCAAAUCGAUCGUCAAAUUUGGG